rnacentral:rRNA from 1 species
UUUCCAGAGAUGGAUUGGUGCCUUCGGGAACUCUGAGACAGGUGCUGCAUGGCUGUCGUCAGCUCGUGUUGUGAAAUGUUGGGUUAAGUCCCGCAACGAGCGCAACCCUUUAUCCUUUGUUGCCAGCGGUUAGGCCGGGAACUCAAAGGAGACUGCCAGUGAUAAACUGGAGGAAGGUGGGGAUGACGUCAAGUCAUCAUGGCCCUUACGAGUAGGGCUACACACGUGCUACAAUGGCGCAUACAAAGAGAAGCGACCUCGCGAGAGCAAGCGGACCUCAUAAAGUGCGUCGUAGUCCGGAUUGGAGUCUGCAACUCGACUCCAUGAAGUCGGAAUCGCUAGUAAUCGUGGAUCAGAAUGCCACGGUGAAUACGUUCCCGGGCCUUGUACACACCGCCCGUCACACCAUGGGAGUGGGUUGCAAAAGAAGUAGGUAGCUUAACCUUCGGGAGGGCGCUUACCACUUUGUGAUUCAUGACUGGGGUGAAGUCGUAACAAGGUAGGCGUAGUGCU